CCAAUCUGGUAUAUACCAGAUCUUUCCCUUCCUCUUCCCCAUCUUCCCCAUUAACCCAAACUGAAAACUCUAGUCACCGCCCACUUGCCGUCGUCGCGUCCCUUCCCCUUCUUCCCCAUUAACCCAAACUAAAACCCUUAGUCGUCACACACUUGUCAUCGUCGCGUCCCUUCCCCUUCCCCUUUCUUGCGCCUCUGCCUCGUCGUUGCUGCCACUUGCCCUACCUGGCCCGCCUUCCGUGGCUGCCUCCCUUGCCAUCGCCCCAUUAACCCCAUUAAUCCCUUUUCUUCGCGUCUCUUCUCCUUUUCCUUCGCCGUUCAUUUCCUUGUCGUCGCCAUUCCAUUGCUUGCUAUUCGCCGCUCUGGUGUCCUUCGCAAGCUUUCAACAGAUACGGUGUCAACCCCUAAUAGGCAACAAGAGGCUCAUGAAGAAUUCCAAGAGCAAGAGAUACAUCUAGGCAACACGGGAUCUUCUGUGGGUGACACUUCAGUAGCUCAGCAUCCACUCGGAGGAAACGCGAGCAUUCGCAGAACAUCGAGUUAGAAAAAUACGUCUAAAAACAUGGCAAAAUUACAAUCGUGAUAAAUGAGAGGGAGACGAAGCCGAUUUCUCAACAUUCGGUAUGAUUUAGUAAUGCAAUUGGUGUCGCCGUGAGAUUUGCAUUUCCAGUACGAUGUCAUACUUUUGCUGAGGUUCCAAACGAGUUUAU